CAGCCGCCGCGGGAAUACGAAGGGGGCUAGCGUUGCUCGGAAUGACUGGGCGUAAAGGGCGCGUAGGCGGUUUGUCGAGUUAGAUGUGAAAUUCCCGGGCUUAACCUGGGGACUGCAUUUGAUACUGGCAGGCUUGAGUGUGGAAGAGGGUCGUGGAAUUCCCAGUGUAGAGGUGAAAUUCGUAGAUAUUGGGAAGAACACCGGUGGCGAAGGCGGCGACCUGGUCCAUAACUGACGCUGAGGCGCGAAAGCGUGGGGAGCAAAUGGGAUUAGAUACCCCUGUAGUCCCUGUCUCUUAUAC
rnacentral:rRNA from 1 species